rnacentral:snoRNA from 1 species
UUAUAUGAUGAUAAAGAGCAUUGCUCGAAACCCAGCUCGUCGAUAAAGACAGGAGUAACGCCCAUGUCUAUGAGAAAACGUUUAUUCUGAUUCA